rnacentral:rRNA from 1 species
UAGCUAGUUGGUGAGGUAAAGGCUUACCAAGGCGACGAUCUGUAGCGGGUCUGAGGAUGAUCCGCCACACUGGAACUGAGACACGGUCCAGACUCCUACGGGAGGCAGCAGUGGGGAAUUUUGGACAAUGGGGGCAACCCUGAUCCAGCCAUGCCGCGUGAGUGAAGAAGGCCUUCGGGUUGUAAAGCUCUUUCGGCCGGGAAGAAAUCGCAUGGGCCAAUACCCUGUGUGGAUGACGGUACCGGAAUAAGAAGCACCGGCUAACUACGUGCCAGCAGCCGCGGUAAUACGUAGGGUGCGAGCGUUAAUCGGAAUUACUGGGCGUAAAGCGUGCGCAGGCGGUUUUGUAAGACAGGCGUGAAAUCCCCGGGCUUAACCUGGGAACUGCGUUUGUGACUGCAAGGCUAGAGUACGGCAGAGGGGGGUGGAAUUCCACGUGUAGCAGUGAAAUGCGUAGAGAUGUGGAGGAACACCAAUGGCGAAGGCAGCCCCCUGGGUCGAUACUGACGCUCAUGCACGAAAGCGUGGGUAGCAAACAGGAUUAGAUACCCUGGUAGUCCACGCCCUAAACUAUGUCAACUAGGUGUUGGGUGGGUAAAACCAUUUAGUACCGUAGCUAACGCGUGAAGUUGACCGCCUGGGGAGUACGGCCGCAAGGUUAAAACUCAAAGGAAUUGACGGGGACCCGCACAAGCGGUGGAUGAUGUGGAUUAAUUCGAUGCAACGCGAAAAACCUUACCUACCCUUGACAUGCCAGGAACUUGCCAGAGAUGGCUUGGUGCCCGAAAGGGAGCCUGGACACAGGUGCUGCAUGGCUGUCGUCAGCUCGUGUCGUGAGAUGUUGGGUUAAGUCCCGCAACGAGCGCAACCCUUGUCGUUAAUUGCCAUCAUUUAGUUGGGCACUUUAACGAGACUGCCGGUGACAAACCGGAGGAAGGUGGGGAUGACGUUAAGUCCUCAUGGCCCUUAUGGGUAGGGCUUCACACGUCAUACAAUGGUCGGUACAAAGGGUUGCCAAGCCGCGAGGCGGAGCCAAUCCCAGAAAGCCGAUCGUAGUCCGGAUUGCAGGCUGCAACUCGCCUGCAUGAAGUCGGAAUCGCUAGUAAUCGUGGAUCAGCAUGUCACGGUGAAUACGUUCCCGGGUCUUGUACACACCGCCCGUCACACCAUGGGAGCGGGUUCCGCCAGAAGUAGGUAGCCUAACCGCAAGGGGGGCGCUUACCACGGCGGGGUUCGUGACUGGGGUGAAGUCGUAACAAGGUAGCCGUAGGGGAACCUGCGGCUG